rnacentral:ncRNA from 1 species
GCGCCUCGUGUAUUUAUUAUUGGGGGUAGAGCACUGUUACGGCUAGGGGCCCGUCUAGGGUUACCAAACCGUUGCAAACUCCGAAUACCAAUAAAUUAUUAAUCACGGGAGACACACGGUGGGUGCUAAGGUCCAUCGUGGAAAGGGAAACAGCCCAGACUGCCAGCUAAGGUCCCAAAAUUAUGACUUAGUAGUAAAUAAUGAAGUGGGAAGGUUAAGACAGCCAGAAGAUUGGCUUAGAAGCAGCCAUUCUUUGAAGAAAGCGUAAUAGCUCACUGGUUGAAUCAGCCUGCGCAGAAGAUUUAAAGGGCUUAAGUCAUAUACCGAAGCUGCGGAAACUCUUAUUAUUUCCUAAGAGUUUGGUAGAGGAGCGUUCUGUAUGCCUGUGAAGAUAUGUUGUGAAAUAUAUUGGAGGUAAUCAGAAGUGCGAAUGCUGACAUGAGUAGCGAUAAUGAAUGUGAAAAACAUUCACGCCGAAAACCCAAGGGUUCCUAGCGCAACGUUAAUCGGCGCAGGGUGAGUCGGUCCCUAAGGCGAGGUUGAAAUGCGUAGUUGAUGGGAAACAGGUUAAUAUUCCUGUACUUCUUAAUUAUUGCGAUGAGGGGACGGAGAAGGCUAGAUUAGCCAGAGAUUGGUGGUUCUGGUUUAAGAUUGUAAGCUAAAAGUUAGGUAAAUCCGGCUUUUAUAUGGCUGAGAAUUUAUGACGAGAUAUAUUUAAAUUAUCGAAGUAAUUAAUGCCAUGCUUCCAAGAAAAGCCUCUAAGCUAUAAAUAAUUUAUGAAACCGUACCCAAAACC